AUAAGUAUCUAUGUGAAAAGCAAACUUUGUUUGUUUUCUGGCCAUUUCCUGGACACUGAGACUUUUCCCCAAUUGUUCAACUUUCAACGUGGGACCAGCUUCUAUGGGGCCAACAGAAUUGUUAAAGUACGUUGCCUAACCUCAAGAGAUCUCCUUCGCACCGGAAGAGAGAGAAUGAACACUCCACGGAGAACUAGAAAACAACAAAUGCUAAGCCAUGUAACUGAGGAGGUGUUUAGGGAAAAGAGAGAGCUGCUGGGCUGGCGGAGCAGGUAGAUUCUGCAGAGGAAGUAGAGUGUGAGACCGGAAUGGAAGGAUAAAGAGGAAAGAGAUGAGCAAACAAAGGAGGAGAGGUUCAUUCUCUCUGAUUUCGUAAAACUAAAAUGUCAUUGAAGUGACCAUGAUUUUCAUUGGAAGGAUAUGUGGGUAGAAGGCAUCACAAAUCCGUAAGCCCGGAGAAGCAGGCAGGUGUUUGGAAUGAGGGAAGAUGGCCAGGAGUAGGGGUGCAGGUGAUGCCACUGGAGUAGGAAAAAGUCACCCAAAGAAGACUCUGUGGACUCUCCCCACAUCCAGAAGCAGCUUAGGAAUGCAGGUGCCGUAGGAACCUACGUAGAACAGAAAGUAGCUGAACAUAGCUGCUUGCAUAAAUAGUGCCUGGAUCCUGCUGGAUGAGCAGUUGGUGAAGAAAGGGUCCCGAAAAUUAUCAUCCACCAAAUGCAACUCUCUCCUCAAACCAGAAUCCAUUUUCUCACUUUCGUCAUCAUUGUCGUUGUUCAGGUCAUUGUAGCUGAGCAUCACCUUGUACUGACUGAUGAUUUGUCGUAGAUACUGAAAAAUAUCCCAUUGAUCAGAUUUUACCAACUGUUCAGGCAAGAGAUCAUGAAAGGAGAGACUGGCUGACAAGGGCCUGAUUACUUUGCUUACAAAAGCUUUUUGUAGCUGUCAUUGUCUGGGCUUUGCUCCUGUGCUCUGCAGUGUCAAUUUCUUAGAGAGAUUGAGCAGGGCUGCCAGAGGCAUUCUUCUUUGUCAAAUGUUGCACUUAUUAUUGAGUUUGUACCCAGGGAAACAUUUAUCUCUUGUGGCAGCGUUGCCGAGGCCAGAUUUGGUCCUAGUGAAGUUAAAGGAGGUCUUGUUAGAGCAGAAAGGAUAGUGUUGAGUGAAUGAAAGUAAUUAACUCGAAGAUGUGUGAUCAUGGUGUCAGCAUAGUAAAUUGCCACAAGAAUUGAGAGUCAGAGGCCUUCCACAGCUGGAGAUGCUCAGAAUAAGCUCAUUUGAGAUCACUACACAUUUCUUAGACACACCUUUGGUUGACCUAUCUUCCAGACUCUGUUUUUAAAUAAGAGUCUGGAAUCCCACAAGGAUUCUUUAUUAAUGAGAAGCAAUAGGUGCAUCUGAUUUAUUGGUGAUAUACAGAUUUAAAAAAAAAAUCACAGUAUCAGUACUUUCUGAUCCAAAAUAUAUUAUCAUCAACACACACACAAUAUAACCAGAGAGAUUGUGGCUAAGAUUGCAUUGUCUCAUGGACUGUUUCUUCCCUUUUCCUAUCUACUUUUACAAUAACCAUGGGACCAGUGCAUCCCUAAAAGAAGAAGCAAAGUCUCUUCCAAUUGCAUUAUCAACUGCUAAGUGCUGCAUGAGACCACAGGUCAUGAUGCAAGGAGGAGAAAGAAAGUAACUUCUACAUCUGAUGCAAGAGGCAGAAAUAGCCCAACUUUGGUGAAUGAUGCGUGUUAGAGCAUGCAAUUAGAAAAACCCUUCUCUCACUUUUAAGAUGAGCAAGUAUGAUACAAAUAGGCAGAAAGAAAAUGAAUACCUAACUUUUGGAAUCAUGAUUUUUUUUCCCCCCAAGCACAGCAGUAUUAGGAAAAAAUAACUCAGAAACUUGACAGGUUUUUUUUUUUUUUUUUGAAAGGUUUAUUUGUUGCAAGAAACCAACUUUCCUUCUAUCUCUUACUUUUCACACUAUAUGAAUUCAGAACACAGCCCUUAUUUAAAAAUAAUAUUUCUUCAGAAUAGAAAAAAUAAACUUGCCUGUACAUGGAACAUUUGCAAAGAGAGAACAUGAACAAACAGGUUUUUAAUUUCAGGUGGAAAGUAGACCUUUUGGCCCAAAUUUAAUUGCAGAUAAGAAACUGUCAUAUCUAGGAGUUAACUAGCUACCACCAAAUGAUGGCUUAUUUUAAGGACACAAAUUAAAAACAAGUCGUUGAUUUAUAGAGGAAAUGGAUAAUUAACCACAGCUACAUCGAGAGAUCUUGGUUUUCCAGAAAUCAAGAAGCGGAGGAAGUUUUAGUCAUCGUCUUCGACCUCAGGAUCAUGCUCUCUUCCAAACAAGUAGCAUUAAACUGCUUCCCAUGUUAAAAUUGACAACCUGAAGAGCUGUGCCUCCCAGUGCUAAGAAGUGCUUGUGUGACAGCUUUCAGCCUUCAUGAGAGUUUAAUCCUUAUGAACUGUGUCUUUACCCAUAUGACUUCCAAUUCCAAAGAGCAAGAGUCUGACUUCUUCUGUUUUAUACUCUGCUGGGUUUUGAAAAUUGGAAGCACAUUGUUCAAUUAAGAACCAAUUAAUGUGACAUUCCAGCAUGAAAGGAGUGUUAGGCAAGAGGAGCCCACUGCAAACUAAUCAGUUUAAAUUUCCUUGACUCACAAUAUGCCAUUUCUUGAAGGCAUGGGAGUGUUAUGCGUUUAUACCACCUCUGGCUCUUGGAACUUGACUGAUUUCAGAAACUAUGUAGGGUCAAGUUGAGUCAGGAUCACAUGGUGACCUUCCCAGAGUAGCCCUAUUUCUGCAAAAAAAAAAAAAAAAAAAAAAGUGCGCACCAUGGGUGUAGUCUCUCUCUCAUAGUGGUACUAACUCAUUACUUUGCAGUGAUGCUCCUGUCUGCCACGUAACUCAGAAGAUAAUGAGCACCCGGAAACUCAAAGGGUAUGCAUUACAACCUAAUUCUCUCAAGCAUAAUUUGUGCCUCGAACUUCAGUUUCCUCAUCUCUUCAACGGAAACAGCAGGAUCUAUUAAAUGGAGCUACAUUGCUGUGCCACUCACCACCAGAGAAGAAAAAGCCCUGGUUUUUUGAAUAGAUGCCAGCCUCAGCAAUUAGUCCAUCAACUUAAAUUCUUCUUGUAGUUUCAAUUAGAUUGAGAACCCUCCCUGGUUUCCACUCAGGCUGUUGUGCAACAUUUCUGCAAGGCUAACAGCUGUCUUAUUCCACCCCAGAGAGACUCUAUUUCAGCUACUCCUGCAUUCCUAGUUCAUAAAGCACUCCAGGAGCCAGUGGGCGAAAGGCACUCUGUAGCAUCACAAGAUGAUAUUUGUUAGUAGUAAAUAAGCUAUGGUAAAAAGGCAGGCAGCGAUUGUGCUCUUGUUAACCGAUCACUCAGCACUCCAGUUGUAUUCACUACACCAAGAACUGGUUGGAUAUCAAAGAACUUGGACUGGCAGAUUUCAUAGGGGAUUUUUUUUUUUUUUUUUGACAUCCAAAGAUCUCACAGAAGAAAAAAAAAAAUACCGAAGACCGAAGCUCACAGUCUCUCAGCAUCAUCUCCGAUUUCAAAAUGAAUGUGCCAGGAGAUAGUCUAUACAGUUGUUUGGCAGAUUCAUUUGUUUUUAAAUUCAUUUAAGGCAGCUUUCCAAAUAAUAUGCUAAAAGAAAUAGCUUUGCUGACUUCUAGGCAGACUCAGAGAGCUGUAUUUGAUUCCCUUUCCCUUCAUUCCCUCUAUGCUCGUGUCCAUUCUUUCUUCCAGCCAUUCUCACCUCCUUCCAUUGUGCUCCUUUUCAUGAGACCUCGAAUCUUGCCUUUAGCGAAGCUUCCCCAGGAUAGCCUUGAACAUCUCUGUUGCUUACUAUCAAUUUAAAAACUUGAUGGGAUGAGCACUGGGUGUUAUGCUAUAUGUUGGCAAAUUGAACUCCAAUAAAAAAAUAAAUUAAUUUAAAAAAAUAAACCUCUGCCCAUCAUGUUCACUGCUGGUGCCACCCUCACCCAGGCUUCCUUGAUAGCUCAUGGUUGGUUGGGUUUGGUCACUGGGACACAAGAAGAGAGAGGCAGCAAUAUUUCUUCUCUCCUCUUGCCCUACCAAGCAUUGUUGUUUUGGCAGCGACUUCAUUCCCCCCUUGACUACAGCUCCUGCCUCUAGCCCCUCAUCCAAGAUUCCAGCUCUUUCAGGGCUCCGCUGACACUAUUUCCUCUCCUUGCCCUCUACCCAAAGGCAAUAAGGAAUUUCUGCUGUUUCUGGUCUCUGGCUGCCUCCACCAUGCGGAUUUCCUCACUCCUGUUCACAACCCUGCAAGCAGUCCUUUCAGUAAAAUAAUUUGAGCUGCUAGGACUCGGGCUCUCCUCCCUCUCACCUCACACGUAUAUACACUAGGAAAGAGAAAGAUACAAAACUGUCUUGAAUGCAUAUGGCGCUCCCUACUUGAUUUGGAUUGAUUUCCUGCCUGAGUCCCUUCAGACUCAGAAUACACAAGCCCUAAUUUCUGUUUGUAAUAGUCACAUAAUGCAGCAUCUGUCAUAUGAUAGAAUUAAUCAUGAAGGAAUGCUACUUUAUUUGGAGAUCAUGUUGAUAUAAAGGUGGUUAACGGGGUAUCCAUUUAAAAUGGUGAGAACUUUCUAAUU